UUUCAUCUCCUUAUUUAAGGAACGAGUGUGAAAUCUCUGUAGAACUUCUGAUACAACUUCGAUUUGGUGAACUCUGGGAAAUACAUAAGCAGUCUUUCCCAGGGUAUCCUGUUACUCUGAUCAGCCAGAAGAGGACUGGCCAUUUCAUGAGUAAAAGUGGGUUACAAGACUUGAAUCCCAGAUUUGGUCCUAGCUGGCAGAGAGAGAGUCAGGCACCUCAUGGUCCGACAGCUUCAUGUACAUAAAGAGUUGAUGUUUGAUGUGA